CGAACGCUGGCGGCAGGCCUAAUACAUGCAAGUCGAACGGCUCUUCGGAGCAGUGGCGGACGGGUGAGUAACGCGUGGGAAUGUGCCCUUAGGUACGGAACAACACAGGGAAACUUGUGCUAAUACCGUAUGUGCCCUUCGGGGGAAAGAUUUAUCGCCUUUGGAGCAGCCCGCGUUGGAUUAGGUAGUUGGUGAGGUAAAGGCUCACCAAGCCGACGAUCCAUAGCUGGGCUGAGAGGAUGACCAGCCACACUGGGACUGAGACACGGCCCAGACUCCUACGGGAGGCAGCAGUAGGGAAUCUUGCGCAAUGGGCGAAAGCCUGACGCAGCCAUGCCGCGUGUAUGAUGAAGGACUUAGGAUUGUAAAAUACUUUCACCGGGGAAGAUAAUGACGGUACCCGGAGAAGAAGCCCCGGCUAACUUCGUGCCAGCCGCCGCGGUAA
rnacentral:rRNA from 1 species